rnacentral:rRNA from 1 species
GACGAACGCUGGCGGCGUGCUUAACACAUGCAAGUCGAACGGAAAGGCCCUGCUUUUGUGGGGUGCUCGAGUGGCGAACGGGUGAGUAACACGAGAGUAACCUGCCCUUGACUUUGGGAUAACUUCAGGAAACUGGGGCUAAUACCGGAUAGGAGCUCCUGCUGCAUGGUGGGGGUUGGAAAGUUUCGGCGGUUGGGGAUGGACUCGCGGCUUAUCAGCUUGUUGAUGGGGUAGUGGCUUACCAAGGCUUUGACGGGUAGCCGGCCUGAGAGGGUGACCGGCCACAUUGGGACUGAGAUACGGCCCAGACUCCUACGGGAGGCAGCAGUGGGGAAUAUUGCACAAUGGGCGGAAGCCUGAUGCAGCAACGCCGCGUGCGGGAUGACGGCCUUCGGGUUGUAAACCGCUUUCGCCUGUGACGAAGCGUGAGUGACGGUAAUGGGUAAAGAAGCACCGGCUAACUACGU